UGAACCUUAUAAAAGCUUAGAUGCAAUUAUCAUUUUAUCAAAUUGUUCCCUAGAACCAGAUUUAAAGGUCUCAAAAUGAAGAAAUUGAUCUUUCUUUUUCUCCUUUUGACUGCCAUACUACAAAUGACAUCUGCAGGCGCUACAUGGUGUGGUAAUAAUUGUGAUAGUGAUAGUGAGGAGAAAGGCGGCGGUGGUGGUGGAGGAGGAAGAAUUAGCGGUUCUCGUUUUAAGCCUAAGCCUAAGCCUAAUCCUAAGCCUAAGCCUAAACCUGAUUAUGCAAAAUAUGGGAAAAGAAAAUGAAACAGUCUUCAGAAGAGCCUAACAACUGCCUUUUCUAGAUCUCUUGGUUUUAAUUCGAUGAAAUUUUGAAGUAUUAAAUCAUUAAUUAACUGCGAA